CAUGUGUGCUCUAUUUCCUCCAUGGUUUCUGAGGGAGGCUCAUUGGAAAGGGAUUUUGGGAUACCUGUUUCUGACUCAGCAUCAGUGCUUCUAUAAUAACCAAAAAAGAAUUGACUUGCGCUCAUUUAUUUGGCCAAAAUUUAUUGAGUCUAAGCACAGUUUCAAGGCGCUCGGGAGCAACUGCACAGACCCAACAUGACAAGCCUACUGCAUGAAUGAAAAUGCCUCUAACGAAAUGUCAUCGUACAUCCUAUAGUUAGAAGAAAGAAAUAUUUGACAUAAGUCAGACAGAUGAGCAGUAAGGAGCUCCAGUUCUUAGCACUCGAAGACACCAUACCGUAACGGUUGUGCCUCUCUUUGAGAUGAUCCGAAAAGAGGCACAGUUUCCCAGUACUGCAGCAAAUACUGCAGGGUCCUGACGAUUGUGCCUGGAGCCUUCUGAAUGUGGUACAAACGCGCUUGACUGGCAAGUGAGUAAUCAAGACCAUCUGAUGCCAGGAUGGAUAAAUUCACUCACAAAUAAACUAUUACCAUCCUUGGACAUUAUACUAAUUGAUGUUGAACAGCAUGGACUUCAAAGUGAAAACUUCAUCUUUCAAAAUCUGCACUCAGAAUCUUUGAAUAUUCAAAAAACUUUGGUUUCAUUUUCUGUAUUGGUGUCCUAUUGCUGCUGUAACAAUUUACCACAAACAUAGUGGCUUAAAAACAACACAAAUUUAUUAUUGUAAAGUUCUGGGGAUCAGAAGUCUGAAAUGGGUCUCAGUAGGUUAAAAUCAAUGUAUGUAUGAGCAAGAUUGCAUUUCUUCUGGAGGCUCUAGGGGAAAAUUCAUUUCCUUGCCUUUUCCAACUUCUAGAGCUGCCCGCAUUACUUGGCUCAUGGCCCUCUUCCUUCCAUCUUCAAAGCCAGCAAUUGAAUCACUCCAGCUUCUGCUUCAGUAGUCACAUCUUCUCUAACUCUCUGCCUGACCCUUUCACUUGAAAGGACCCUUGUGAUUACAUUGGGUCCACCUGGAUAAUCCAGGAUAAUCUCUCCCAUCAUCUCAAGAUCUUUAAUUUAAUCACAUCUGUAAAAUCCCUUUUGCCAUAUAAAGUAACAUAUUCCCAGGUUCUGGGAAUUAGGAUGUAGACAUCUUUGGGGGGUUAUUAUUCUGCCUACCACACCUUCCUUAGCAUGAGCUGGACCUGAUAUCUCAUCUCCAGAUAUUCAAACAAUACAUUGUAAUUUUAAUACUUAGUAAUUUAUGAAACCCUACUCUGUGUCAGGCUCAGGCACUAUACCAGGUUUGCAGACAAUAAUCAGUGCUUAGACUGGGCCAGCCCUGUGGCCUAGUGGUUAAGUUCAGCAUGCUCCACUUCGGCAGCCCAGGUUCAGUUGCUGGGCGCAGACCUACAUCACUCAUCAGUGGCCAUGCUGUGGCAGUGGCCCACAUAUAAAAAAGAGGAAGAUUGGCAACGGAUGUUAGCUCAGGGUGAAUCUUCCUCAGCAAAAAAAAAAAAAAAAGAGAGAGAGAGAGAAUCAGUGCUUAGAGAGGUUAAGUAAUUUUCCUAAGAUCACAGAACUGGACAAUGGCAGAGCAGAAUCUCAAACUCAGGUCUGUUGGAUUUCAAAGCCCCUGCUCAUUGUAUGCUGCCUCCAUAGCUCAACAUUUCCUAUGCUUGGUUUGCUCUCUUUGGAUAACCUUCAUGUCAAAAGCUUUUCAUUUAGUUUGACAUUUAAUGAUACAACCUAGCUAGAUAAACUUUUUAUUAAGCCCCUAUAAAUCUCACAUUUGACUCAUUCAGUAGGUGCCAGUGGAUGAUGUCAUCACUAAACACUCAUUCAAGAUGUUGUCUCCGCAUCUUCUAAUAAAUCUUCCAAAAAGUAGCAUCAGAUGGGUUCCUCCUCCAUAAUACAAGCAGAAGUGGAUUCACCAGGUUAUCUUCUUUGUGAGUGAAACGUAAAUCUCUGAAUAAUAUCAGGUGGUGCCAGUGAGAAAUGAUCUUUCCAAAGGCCCACAAGUAUAUCCAAUAUCUUAUUCUUUAAAAAAGAGAGCCUAACACUUUAGCAGUCUGAGUUCAUAUCUUCAUAGAGUCUCUCAUCGUCCAACAGCAAUCAUUUUAAACACCUAGUCUGCUUAAGUGCCAGGUGAGGGGCUAUGUUGAACGACUCCCUAAUGGUGCUUGAGAAUAACUAGAUACAGUCAGUGCUUCACAGGAGCCCAUCCUUGCUACAAGAAGAAAUUCUCUUGAGUAAGCAAGUAAGUAAGCGUGGGAUAAGCACACUUUCAAAGAAAAAUAAUUCUUUAUUUCUGCAAAAUAGUCUGGAUAACCUCACCACACCAGUCAACCAUAGGAACUCAAAAGAAGCAAAACUAUU